GUGAAUCAUCAAAUUUUUGAACGCAAAUUGCACUCUCUGGCAUCCCGGAGAGUAUGCCUGUUUGAGGGUCAGUUUAAUAAAAAUCGGCGUGUCGCUUUCGUGAUGCACCGGAGGUUGGGUCUUCUUAGCUUUAGGUUAAGAGUCUUAAAAUUGAUAUCUUUUUUGCGCGCUUUUAGACGUACAUAAAUUUAUUUUAUCGUUUAUUCUGGUGCCAAUUAUCUAUUAGGUGCGGUCAUGUUAUAUGAUCUCGUGCCUAUAAUUUCUCAUCUUUUGACCUCAAAUCAGGUAAGGACACCCG
rnacentral:misc_RNA from 1 species